UGUAUAAAAUGAAAAUGGCGUCAUUUCACCAACUUAAAACACAAAUUCACGAAUAAUAAAAUAAAUGUUUGCCACGGCCUGUUAAAAUUUAUGAAGACCUCUUCAUGGAUUGGAUUUAAGCAACCUGCUGUGUAAUAUCCUCGCCAUUCUUGAUGUUGAGAAGAUCUAUAAGUCUUUUGCGUUUCAUCUGAGUGUUGUGGUUUUUCAUUAUGUUAAAAAUAAGACUUUGUUAGUUCAAGUGUCUCUAUAACUAUGAAGAAGAACAAAAGAAAAUGCUUUGAGUGUGGUUCUUCGCCUGCCGAUGAUCCAGAGAAGACCCUACAGAGAUUACCGAAACUUGAUUCUACAAAUUUAGUCUCCGGUAGCUUAAUCUGGAGCAACAUAAGGUUAAUUAUGAAAUGGUAAUGAAAAUAAACAUCUGAGAAAAGCAAAUUCCAUGAACUAAUUUGAAAGUAUCUGUUACCAGAAGUAAAUUUUUUACUAUACCACUGUUCAAUAUUAAACCACAGGUAUAUGUACUAAAGGCAGUAAUGUCCAGAUAAUCAAUGAUUAGACUAUUGGACUUUUAGAAUAAAUUUUACAUUGAACUAUGAAUGGUUUGUCAUCUACAUUUUUAAAAAAGACGAGAUGUUUUGCCUGUAAGAAGAAGAGAGAGAGAGAAUAAGAAGUUAAGUUAAACACCUACUGUAAAAUGCACACUGCUCCAAUGUAGGUUGAUAGGCUUGGGGUAAUAAAGUUAAAUUAUAAAAGGAUCACUAUCAGGUGUUAAUGAUAAUGACUGGGAUAUAUAGCAUAUCAUACUCUCUGAGAUAUAGGGAUAUAACACCAGCAACAGCUCUCCAGUGAUAGCAUCAUUGCUCUUUGCAUCUACAUGCCAUUGCCAGUUGUGGCAAUCGAACUCAUCAUAUUAGUGUGAUUAGCAUGGAUGUAUUUCAGUGUCUAUGUGGUUGUGAGUGUAUGCCCAUGUUAAAUAACAAGUAAUGGCCCAAAUAAUAAGUAGCCUAUAUGUUGCUCAAUAAUCUUCUCUAUCUUCCAGUAAAAGUCCCAUUAAAAUGACCCUGCUGUUCCAGAGAUUAGCUCAAACAAACAGACAGAUGAACAUUUUAAAGAAGUAUGGCUGUAUAUCAGUAUUGUAUAUAGGCACUUGAGAAAACACAGUUAUUUUGAAAUCACAGACAUACACUUAAAUUUUAUUUAUAUGUAUUGGUGCUGUUCAUAAAUAUAGCAUCAGCUGAAACAAACUAGGCAUAGUUAAGUUACAUUUUAUACAGGGUACUCGGGCCUAUUUUUCAUAAAUUCAAGGUGUUGACAAGUCCACUUAUAGCUACCUUAGCUACUAGUUUAUAUUGAGGAGAACUUUCCACCUAGAUGGGUUGUGACUGUAUGAGGGGUCUGGUAAUGAAGACAGUUAAGGGAACUUCUCGAUGGUUCACAGUAGUAAUUAGUUUGAUUCUAAGUCAGACGCAAUCAAAUACAAUGUUUUAUCACGACUCAUAGCAACAUACCUUUGGCGCUAGAUCAAUAUCUAGGAUGAUUUCACUAAAAAUGGAAAAAUAAAAAAUUUUAAUAAAAGAAAUUCAACCAACUUCAAAAACAUAAAACAUACUAGCUAAACUAAAAAGCGAAAAAUAAUAUUAUACUAAGUUCAUAUCAUAUUAUGUUCUAACUGAUGAUCAGUUUGAAGGCUGUGCUACACCGGUGUUGUUUUAUUUAAGCUGUUACUGAAGGAACUACAUGAAAGAACACUGUCUUAAAAACCUAAAUAUUUAUGAUAUUCUUACAUGGCUUGAAUUAAUACAUCAUUGGGCUAGCACCACCUUCAAACUGAUCAUCAGUUAGAACAUAAUAUGAUAUAUAGAACUUAGUAUAAUGUUAUUUUUCGUUUUUUAGUUUAGUAAGUAUGUUUUUGAAGUCGGUUGACUUGUUUUUUAUUAAAGUUUUUUAAUACACAUGUUCCUUAGACAUUUUAAAUUAAUUUUCCUUAUAGAACUUGGAGCUACCCUAGAGUUAUGGGAAAUACUCCCGAGCACCCUGUAGAUGCUACUUAAUCCUACUAAUCCUUCAUUCAUCAGUAUCGGUUGGUGGGCUUGGAGUUUAUAAAGUAUAUAUAAUUUAUUUAUGAACAUUCCUCAUCCAGUUGAGCUUUCACUACCCAUAACACAAGCUAAGCUUACUUUGAGACUAGUUAGUGAUGUGUGUAAUGUGUUAAUACAGGAAGAAAAUUUUUUUAGUGCGGAUAUUUUUAUAUUUUGUACAUAAACAAAAUUUAAUGAUCACGUAUUUUUUCUUUUUUUUUUAAACUCAAAAAUAACAAAAUUAUCGUUAGCUAAAGUUAUUUACUUUUGAACAGAAUUUUAGGGUCACCCUAUUGUGCGUUUAUUUUAUUUUCGUUUGAUACCUAAAGGACGUCACCAGAUCACUUUUAAGCUGAAUAUAUCUUGUUUAGUAAUAAUAUGUACAUUAUUUUGUUAUUUUAGAGACAUAAAUUAAAAAAAAAAUUACAUUAAAUGUAUCGAACUGUUUGUAGAUUUAUAUUCUAUUAAUGAUACAGAACCACGAAAAAAAAUAUCCGCACUAAAGACCGAAUCACCCUGUAUAAAUAUUAACCAACUUUCUGCAGUUUGAGAAUACGCGGAUAAAAUAUAGCCUAUGAUACUCAGAAAUAACUUGGCUUUCUAGUGGUAAAAGAAUUUUCAAAAUUGAUUCAGUAGAUCCAGAGUUUACCUGCUAGAACACCACUAUUUUUACCUACCUUUACCCUACCCUACCCUUACCCUACCCCUAACCUAGGCAUACACUCCCCUACCCCACCCUACCCCUACCCUACCUUUACCCUUACCCUACCCUUACACAACCCCUACCCUACCUGUACCCUACCCUACCCUACCCCAUACCUUCCCUACCUUACCCCUACCCUUAGCAAAAUCGGUCCAGCCCUAUGAGCGUGGUGCGAUGACAAAGGAAAAUAGAGACUUCUAUGCUAAAAUUAUAAUCUUUGGAUCUACUGGACCGAUUUGAAAGAUUGUUUUACCAAUAGAAAGCUACGUUAUUUGCGAGUGUCAUAGGCUAUGUUUGAUUCCCAUAUUCGCACAGGAACGGGAACCACGUAAUUGAAAGCGCGGGGCGUCAUGUAGCGGAAUUUCUGCGUCUUUGAGAAAUUUUGUAUUAUCUCCGAAACUAUUUAACUAAUUAACAUACUAUAAAGGGCAAAUCUUAUCUCCAUAAUAUCCUUGUGAUUAUUAAAUAAUUUAUUUUGAUAAGGAUUUAAGUUAAGUAGCAUAAAUAAUGACACAAACCUAAGUAUAUAAAAUUUAUAAUUUUUAAAACACAAAAGGUACUAUAUCUGCUAAUAUAAAGAAGAUAGAUAUAUGAUGUCGCGGAAUUUUUUGUAGAACUUUUAAAGAUACAUAAAGCCUCCAUACAUUAAUUUCAAUUUUACACAAUGGUUAAGGCAGCGCAUGCGAAUAAGUCUGCUUAAGAGGAUUUUCGGUCCGACCUGUAUGACAAAAACUGUGUUAACUCGGCGAAUAUAUAUCAUGCUAAUAUAAAAUAUAGCCUAUAGCACUCCCCGAUAAUGUAGCAUUCUACUGGUGAAAGAAUUUUUGAAAUCGGACCAGUAGUUCCGAAGAUUACCGCAUUUAAAAAAUGUGAAAAACUUACAAACUUUACCUCUUUAUAAUAUUAGUAUAGAUAUAGUUUAACAACUCAUUUUCGGCUCAUUGUUGAGCACGAGUCACUUCUCAGGACGAGAGGGGUUAGGCCUUAGUCCUUCAUGCUGGCCCAAUGCGGAUUGGCAGACUUCACACACCUAGACAAUUAAGAAAAUUCUCAGUUAUGCAGGUUUCUUCACAAUGUUAUGCUUUACCAUUUAAGACAUUUAAUUUUAAAACGGGUUGGAUACAUAUUGGUAUAGAUUUUUAUUGUGAGUUUCUUGAAAGAAGGAAAUGCUCAAUAUUUCAUAGACCAACCCAGGACUCAAACUCAGAAUUUCCUGAUAGUUACACUGAACCAAUAAAGUAGUUAGAGAGAGAGAGAGAGAGAUAAAUAAGAGUUUAUUAUGUAUUAAAAUUAAAAUAUAUACCUAAUGCUUUCAGCAAUCCUGCUUCUUCACAUGAAUUUUACCCGCAUGACGACGGUUAUUAAUAUAAAAAAUAUUUACACAAUGUCUCAAAAAGCAAUCAAAGCUUUGAAAAAUAAACAAUGUUCGCAGAAGUUCAGUACCAACAAACUCACAAAAAAUGAGCCUAAAUUUAGCAUUACUUGCAAGCCAGACUAAGAAAUUUCAAGAAGAUAAUUUAAAAGAAGACAAUAGAAUAAACAGAUAAACAGAUGGAAACCAGGCAAUAGGUGUAGCAAAAUAGAAGAUGAAGGUCUAGCUGUGCCAGUGCUGAGCCACACAGUUGCUACUGGCAUGUUUGCAAAAUAGCACAAGGUGUAGCAAAAUAGAAGAUGAAGGUCUAGCUGUGCCAGUGCUGAGCCACACAGUUGCUACUGGCAUGUUUGCAAAAUAGCACAAGGUGUAGCAAAAUAGAAGAUGAAGGUCUAGCUGUGCCAGUCAGUGCUGAGCCACACAGUUUUUGCUGGCAUGUUUGCAAAAUAGCACAAGGUGUAGCAAAAUAGAAGAUGAAGGUCUAGCUGUGCCAGUGCUGAGCCACACAGUUGCUACUGGCAUGUUUGCAAAAUAGCACAAGCUGUAGCAAAAUAGAAGAUGAAGGUCUAGCUGUGUCAGUGCUGAGCCACACAGUUGCUGCUGGCAUGUUUGCAAUAUAGCACAAGGUGCAGUGCAUGCAAUAAUAAUU